UUUUAUUAACUUACGGUUAGCUUAUGAACGUUUUUAAAACGUUUUUUUUAACGUGAUAAAAAAACUUUUUUUAAACGUAAUAUUUAAACGGCAAUAUUUAAAAGAGUAUGUUUACGCAAAUAAUGGCGUGACCUUCGAUUAGGCGAAUUGAUUUAUUUAAGUAAAAAUAUAUAAAUUAGUAUAUAUUUAAAUCAACCAAGUGUUUGUAUUGUUUUUUUGUAGAAUUAAAUUUGAAAAUAUAUUGGAGUAUUUUUAGUUUAAAGUUGUAUGCCUUCGUUGAAACUUGGUUGUGUUUGUAUUUCUACUUGAAUCAAGUAGAUAUGGUUAAUAAAGUUUUAAUGGUGUGGUUAGCUAGAUUAUUUUACUCUAAUAAGUAACUUAAUUGUUGAGUAAACUUGAAUGCUUAAAAAAACUAGAUUAAGUUUUUAAUUCUACUUAAUCAUCAACUGCUUUUAACGCAAAAAAAUCUAUUUGGAUUUGAAAAAAGGGAACAACAUUCUCAGACUUUUUCUUCUUUAACUCUAAAAAUUAAAAAUGAUAUCAGUGGUUUUUAUAAAGGAAUUACUAUAGUUAAAAAAGGCUGAAAGGAAAAAAUAUAAUGAUUUGUUUCAAGAAAGGGAGUGACUUACUUCAAAAUGUCAUUUUAAAAUUUUUAUUCUUUAAUGAUAUUCUGGUGUUAUUACCAAAUGUUUAGCAGUAUGAAACCUAUAAUAUUAUAUACCAUACUAUAUACCCUAUUUUACUUAUAAAGUUAAUAAUCUGUAAAGUAAUAUGUAAAAAUUUUUUAAUUGUAAAAUUGCUACAUGAGAAGACAAGUUGUUAGAUGAAAUUCAAAUAUUCUCUAUGUUUGUGUUGUGUAGGUCAAAAAAUAAUAAACAAAGAUGAUAUUGAUUGUGAUGACCAAGAGAUUCAUUUUAAGACACAUCAAUCUUCAUCAUCUUUAAAUAAAAAGGAUAAACAUUAUGGAUUUCCAUUAUCUCAAGCAAAAACCAAGAGUUCAAAAUACUAGUGGUAAGAACUGUCAAAAACUUGUGAUAGCUAUGAUGAAGAGAUUUGUGACAAAUUUGCUCAUGGCCAAAUCUAAUAUGGCAGCUGGAAAAGGCAAAGGAUCUUUUUAGCCUAACUAAGCUAUACAGUUUAAUAAAAGUUUGUGCAUCGACUUCUCACGAAUCAUACACAGAGUCGAUUGACGAUGCAAUAAUUGCUGAUUCGUGAAAACGGGCAGCUUUUGCUUGUCUUAAAGUGCCUUAAAUCCAUCGUUAUAAUAUUACUUUGUUUGUAAAUUGUUUUGAAAAAUAAAUUUAAAAAUAACUAUUAAA